rnacentral:lncRNA from 1 species
UAAUAUAAUUUUUGUAGCAAUAGAAGUAUGUGUAUUUCACAGAAAUGACACAUAAUUUAAACUGAUGCUCUCAGUAGUUUAUAAUCAUUAGGAAAGCAGCAUGAAAGAAGUGACUCCUAAGCAAAAUUGCAGGAGAUCAGUGGGAGUGCAAAGAUUUACAUAAAUUGGGAAUUUUAGAAACUGGAAGUAGCAAAUAUCAACAUCAGUAUGCGGAUGGCUCUUUUAUGAUUUUGUCUCGUUUAGCACCUGAUGAGUACAAUAGACAAAUAAUAUACAUAUUUUUAUGUAAGAGAGAGAAACUGUGGUAACAGGUGAAAGGUAGGUGCGGGUUCAAGGAAGAUGAGACAAAUAUGGAAUAAGCUUGUAUCCAUUCAAGCCUUGAGUCUAAUUUAGUCCAGCUGAUUUUCAGCUAACCCUCGCACACAUAAACAUGAGAA